UACGUAGGGUGCGAGCGUUAAUCGGAAUUACUGGGCGUAAAGCGCACGUAGGCGGCUUUGUAAGUUAGAGGUGAAAGCCCGGAGCUCAACUUCGGAAUUGCCUUUAAGACUGCAUCGCUUGAAUCGUGGAGAGGUGAGUGGAAUUCCGAGUGUAGAGGUGAAAUUCGUAGAUAUUCGGAAGAACACCAGUGGCGAAGGCGACUCACUGGACACGUAUUGACGCUGAGGUGCGAAAGCGUGGGGAGCAAACAGG
rnacentral:rRNA from 1 species